UACGUAGGGGGCUAGCGUUGUCCGGAAUCAUUGGGCGUAAAGCGCGUGUAGGCGGUCCGGUAAGUCCGCUGUGAAAGUCGGGGGCUCAACCCUCGGAUGCCGGUGGAUACUGUCGGGCUUGAGUACGGAAGAGGCGAGUGGAAUUCCUGGUGUAGGCGGUGAAAUGCGCAGAUAUCAGGAGGAACACCAUGCGAAGGCAGCU
rnacentral:rRNA from 1 species